rnacentral:misc_RNA from 1 species
GAUGAAGAACGUAGCAAAAUGCGAUAAGUAAUGUGAAUUGCAGAAUUCAGUGAAUCAUCGAAUCUUUGAACGCACAUUGCGACCGCUGGUAUUCCGGCGGGCAUGCCUGUUCGAGCGUCAUUUCAACCCUCAAGCCCCCGGGUUUGGUGUUGGGGAUCGGCUCUGCCCUUCUGGGCGGUGCCGCCCCCGAAAUACAUUGGCGGUCUCGCUGCAGCCUCCAUUGCGUAGUAGCUAACACCUCGCAACUGGAACGCGGCGCGGCCAUGCCGUAAAACCCCAACUUCUGAAUGUUGACCUCGGAUCAGGUAGGAAUACCCGCUGAACUUAAGCAUAUCAAUAAGCGGAGGA